GCGGGAAUGCGAUUUGUGAAUAUAAAACUCCUCGAUGGACAGUAUUUCUCAGGAAGUAUCUUCUAAUGCUUCCUAGGGUGUCUCCAGGAAGUACCUUUUACUGAUUCCUAGAGCACCUACAAUGUGAUUGAAAAGCAGCUGAAAGCUUUUGAGGAUGAUAGGAAGAGAACCAGAACACGACCUUUCUCUCAGCAGAGAAGCAACUGUGACAGCAGGGACCUCUUCUGAAUGCAAAUCUCUUGUCCAUGUAUUGGAAACAUUUUAUAUGGUUGUGUCCCCCAUCCAGAUGAAGACCCUCUCAUGCUUACAGGCUUUGUUUGUGGGGAGGGCAACUGAACUUCCAAGCAGCUCAUUGCCAUGCCAUGGGCGAACAACAGCUGAAACCAGCCUACCCUUUUCAGAGUGCAAUGUAUUAAUACCCGGGUACAUGGAAUUAUUAGCACAUAUGCACCAAUAUUACAAGCCAGGAGAGAACUCUUGAGAAAACUGAUGUGUUUUUCCUAAAAGUACACUGAGUAAGCUCAAAAAUAGUGAGGCAAGCUGACGGGAAUUUGUCCAUAACUACUGAUCAUUAUGACUUAAUUAUGUAGGCUGUAAAGCAAGUGUUCCCAAACUAUGGUCCACAGACCAGCAGUGGUCCACAAGCUUCACUCAGGUGGUCUGUGGCAUGUCUGUGAGGAACACUUCUAUAGAAUUCAAACUGUAACACAAUAAAAUACAAUAUAAGUAACAAAAGAAGCAACAAUACAAUUAAAAUCAUACAUCAUCUAGCACAGCGCAUUACAAUUGCUACAACAGGCAGAGAAAAAAGACAUUAAGUGGUUCACCAAGACGCUCAGCAAUUUUCAAGUGGUCCAUGUGGAAAAAGUUUGGGAACCUCAUUCUAAACUAUAGUUUUCUCCAAGGCAAGUAGAGCAAAUUUGCCCUUUUCACCAUCACAUUAUUAAUUCUGAUCCAGAGUCAGUACCAUGAUAACUAAAUAAAUGUACUGGAGAGGAGGGGGGAAGUCUUGCUUUGGAAAAGGGGAAGGCGUGGUGGCCCUUUUCCUUAAUUGCAGUGGAUUUGUUUGGUCUUAUACCAUCCAAGGGAGUGUUGAAAUAGACUAGCAGACAACCCAAGUAGCUUUUUGGUUAUUAUCUGUCUCCCUCUGUUUUUUCAUUUCAAAAUCUGCCAUCAUUCUCUUCCCAAACUUUUAUCAGCUUUCCUUGUAGAGUUGCCACCUCUUUUUUAAGAGAGAAAUUAAAAUGCCAUUUAUGUUAUGUUAUCCUUGAGUCAACAUAUGCUGUAACUGUCAAUUGCUUAGAACUGAGGUUAAGCCAGGUGGCCAAAAAUAUCAAAAGAAAGCUGGUAUGCUUAAAACCUGCCAACUGACUAUCUGCUGUCUUUUCUUCUUUGAUAGGCAGCAUCACAAUACUCCUUAAAGACAUUUCAUAAUAGUAAAGUGUCAAAUAACAACGGUGAGAGCAGAUUCUAAGGCCACGUAGACAUUACAAGACAGAAACUUUAGAAGCUGCUUUAAGACUGCCAAAUCAGACAUUGAAACCCACCCAUCCGGAAGCCAAUUCUUCAUUCAGCCUCCAACCACCCUAUUGCAUUUGCGGUCAGCUCAUUUACCUUUUAUCUGAGUAGUUCAGCUUCCAGAGAGCUCUUGCCCAAUACAGAUUUCAGAAAUGCAGUUUAGGCUUAAAUGUGCUCUAUCUGCUACUGUUAAGAGUAUAUGAGUGAAAAGGCAUGCAGUUUAAAUGUGUCCGGAGCGUUAAACUGAUUGAAAAUUAUACAGGAAAAGGCAUUUACAUUUGCAAUUCACCCUACCUGCAUUUUAUGUAUCACCUGUGAACAAGUACAUUCUUUGUGAAGGACAUUUCUAUGCUCACCAUUUUUUCACAUGGAGUUGUACACAUUUGUGGCUGGCUUUUUCACAUCUUCCUGUAUGGAGAUGUCUCUUUCAUUCUUAUUAUCAGGCAUGGAUCCCUGAGCUAAUUCUUCUUCCUUUUCCAUGAGCGUGGCAGUCAUUUCCUGUUCUAUUCUCCCCCUCCCAAUAAAAGUGAAAUGAUUGGGGGGAAGUCUUAUCAAUUUCAUAGAUGUGUAUUGGGAAAAUUUGUUACUUCUUACUGGCCUGAUCCUUUUUUUUCUUUCAAAGUGGAAUUUAACCAGC